rnacentral:rRNA from 1 species
UACGUAGGUGGCAAGCGUUAUCCGGAUUUACUGGGUGUAAAGGGCGUGUAGGCGGGAAGGCAAGUCAGAUGUGAAAACUAUGGGCUCAACUCAUAGCCUGCAUUUGAAACUGUUUUUCUUGAGUGCUGGAGAGGCAAUCGGAAUUCCGUGUGUAGCGGUGAAAUGCGUAGAUAUACGGAGGAACACCAGUGGCGAAGGCGGAUUGCUGGACAGUAACUGACGCUGAGGCGCGAAAGCGUGGGGAGCAAACAGG